rnacentral:rRNA from 1 species
UACGUAAGGUGCGAGCGUUGCCCGGAUUUAUUGGGCGUAAAGGGCGCGUAGGCGGUCACGCACGUCCGUUGUGAAAUCGCUCGGCUCAACUGGGCGGGGUCAGCGGAUACGGCGUGGCUGGAGCAAGCUAGGGGGCAAUGGAAUUCCCGGUGUAGUGGUGGAAUGCGUAGAUAUCGGGAGGAACACCAGUGGCGAAGGCGGUUGCCUGGAGCUUUGCUGACGCUGAUGCGCGAAAGCGUGGGGAGCGAUCCGG